AAAAGUCAGUGCUAUAUCACAGGACCGGUUUGGCCAACUAUUGAGGCAGAGAACUUCAACCUAAAACCUAGUAUUAUUGCUUUGGUUCAACAACAUCAGUUUGGAGGACUGCCUACUGAGGAUCCCUAUGAGCACCAACACCGAGUCAUGGAGUAUUCAGGUACAGUCAAGUACCAUGGAGUUCCUCAAGAUGCUAUCAAGUGCAUGUUGUACACAUUCUCUCUCCGAGAUGAUGCUCGUGCUUGGUAUCGAUCCUUGCCAUCAAGAUCAUUCAGUUGGAACAAGAUAUCACAAGAUUUCUUGGAUAAAUAUUUCCCACUACACAAGCAGUCCGCAAUUCGAGAUGAGAUCUUCAGCUUCGUUCAGCGUGAAGGCGAGAGUUUGUAUGAUGUUUGGGAGAGAUACAAGGCUUUAUUCAGGAGAUGUCCUAACCACGGGCUCGAGAGAUGGUUAGAGUUGUAG
rnacentral:rRNA from 1 species